GGGGCCUUCGGGAAUGACGCUAUCACCCUGUGACAUACCUAAACGUUGCUUCGGCGGGAACAGACGGCCCCGUGAAACGGGCCGCCCCCGCCAGAGGACCCCUAACUCUGUUUCUAUAAUGUUUCUUCUGAGUAAAACAAGCAAAUAAAUUAAAACUUUCAACAACGGAUCUCUUGGCUCUGGCAUCGAUGAAGAACGCAGCGAAAUGCGAUAAGUAAUGUGAAUUGCAGAAUUCAGUGAAUCAUCGAAUCUUUGAACGCACAUUGCGCCCGCCAGUAUUCUGGCGGGCAUGCCUGUUCGAGCGUCAUUACAACCCUCAGGCCCCCGGGCCUGGCGUUGGGGAUCGGCGGAGCCCCCCGUGGGCACACGCCGUCCCCCAAAUACAGUGGCGGUCCCGCCGCAGCUUCCAUCGCGUAGUAGCUAACACCUCGCGACUGGAGAGCGGCGCGGCCACGCCGUAAAACACCCAACUCUUCUGAAGUUGACCUCGAAUCAGGUAGGAAUACCCGCUGAACUUAAGCAUAUCAAAAGGCCGGAGGAA
rnacentral:rRNA from 1 species